rnacentral:piRNA from 1 species
UUUGAAAUGGACCCGAUAAUAUGAAGCAC